rnacentral:rRNA from 1 species
UGCGCAGGCGGUUUGCUAAGACAGGUGUGAAAUCCCCGGGCUUAACCUGGGAACUGCGCUUGUAACUGGCAAGCUGGAGUGUGGCAGAGGGGGGUGGAAUUCCACGUGUAGCAGUGAAAUGCGUAGAGAUGUGGAGGAACACCGAUGGCGAAGGCAGCCCCCUGGGCUAACACUGACGCUCAUGCACGAAAGCGUGGGAGCAAACA